rnacentral:rRNA from 1 species
AUGAGUAUUCUAUGUUGGAACUAUCAAGGCUUGGAGUCGAACUCAAUAGUUGGCGAGCUUCGCUGUUUGGUGAAGCUCCACCUUCCCUCCCUCAUCUUUCUUUCAGAGACAAAGAUGAGGGAUACUCGUGUUAGAAACUUUAUGUGGUCUUUGGGCUAUGUUGGAUGCCUUGUUGUUAGCUCCAUUGGACAAAGUGGUAGUCUAGCUUUGUUUUGGUCAGUGGAUGUGGAUGUUUCUCUGAAGGCUUCUAGUGCUCGAUGCAUUGAUGUGCAUGUCACACCUAAGGAUGGUUCCACCUGGCGUGCAACCUUUGUGUAUGGUGAACGCGGAAGAGAGCAUAGAACUCAAUUUUGGGAUUUUUUGAGAUUUAUCAAAGCACAAUGGAAGGGGCCAACGAUUGUGUGCGGAGAUUUCAAUGAAAUUCUUUCUCAGGAUGAACUUUGUGGACCCCGUGAUCGUUCUGAUUCAUAG